GGCCUCAUACAUGCAAGUCGAGCGCGAAAGUCCGCAAGGAUGAGUAAAGCGGCGCACGGGUGAGUAACACGUGGAUAAUCUACCCUUUGGAUUGGAAUAACCUGUCGAAAGACGGGCUAAUGCCGAGUAAGCUCUCGGAAGCGUGAAGCUUCUGCGAGGAAAGAUGGCGCAAGCUAUCGCCGAUGGAUGAGUCUGCGUCCCAUUAGUUAGUUGGUGAGGUAAUGGCUUACCAAGACAAUGAUGGGUACCUGGUCUGAGAGGAUGACCAGGCACACUGGAACUGAAACACGGUCCAGACUCCUACGGGAGGCAGCAGUAGGGAAUAUUGCGCAAUGGACGAAAGUCUGACGCAGCCACGCCGCGUGAGUGAGGAAGGCCUUCGGGUUGUAAAGCUC
rnacentral:rRNA from 1 species